rnacentral:rRNA from 1 species
ACCUACGGGAGGCAGCAGUAGGGAAUCUUCCACAAUGGGCGAAAGCCUGAUGGAGCAACGCCGCGUGGGUGAAGAAGGUCUUCGGAUCGUAAAACCCUGUUGUUAGAGAAGAAAGUGCGUGAGAGUAACUGUUCACGUUUCGACGGUAUCUAACCAGAAAGCCACGGCUAACUACGUGCCAGCAGCCGCGGUAGUACGUAGGUGGCAAGCGUUAUCCGGAUUUAUUGGGCGUAAAGGGAACGCAGGCGGUCUUUUAAGUCUGAUGUGAAAGCCUUCGGCCUAACCGGAGUAGUGCAUUGGAAACU